UGUUCUGAAAUUGUCUCAAUGACAUACUUUGUUUCGCUGUCAGAUGGACUCCUCAGCUACUCACAGGAUUCUUCACUAUGAACAAUAAGUGGCUGUCUGGUAUACACAGAAUGGGGAAACGUUCAUCUUGGUAGGAAUCCCUCCUCAUAACAUCAAGCGUUCUGAAAUACUGCUUGACUUGGCAAUCAAAGCCCAACAGGAAGACCAUCCACUACAUGACAAGAAAUCAGAAAUGGUUUGUGAUGAUCCUCCAAAGAAGAUUAAAACUCAAGAAUCUGCCAAGAACCAGCAGUGGCAAGAGGAAGGGAAUGGUCUUGCAAAUACCCUUGAGCACAUUGUGGGACAGUUAGAUGUUCUUACCCAGACUCUUUCCAUUCU